rnacentral:rRNA from 1 species
UACGAAGGGGGCUAGCGUUGCUCGGAAUCACUGGGCGUAAAGGGUGCGUAGGCGGGUCUUUAAGUCAGGGGUGAAAUCCUGGAGCUCAACUCCAGAACUGCCUUUGAUACUGAAGAUCUUGAGUCCGGGAGAGGUGAGUGGAACUGCGAGUGUAGAGGUGAAAUUCGUAGAUAUUCGCAAGAACACCAGUGGCGAAGGCGGCUCACUGGCCCGGUACUGACGCUGAGGCACGAAAGCUAGGGGAGCAAACGGG